rnacentral:rRNA from 1 species
AGUGAACGCUGGCGGCGUGCCUAAUACAUGCAAGUCGAACGGAGUGGCGCACGGGUGAGUAAUAUAUAGCUAAUCUGCCCCUUGCUGGAGGACAACAGUUAGAAAUGAAUGCUAAUACUACAUAGAACGGGAUGAGACUAUCUCGUAUCAGCUAGUCGGUGGGGUAACGGCCUACCGAGGCUAUGACGCGUAACGUGUCUGAGAGGAUGAUCAGUCACAUGGGAACGGAGGCACCGUCGAAACUCCGACGGGAGGCAGCAGUAGGGAAUAGUGCGCAAUGGGCGAAUCUCUGACGCAGCUUCGGCGCGUGGAGGAUGAUAUUUUUCGGAGAGUAAACUCCUUUUGUUAGGUAAGCGGUACCUAACGAAGAAGCACCGGCUAACUCCGUGCCAGCAGCCGCGGUAAUAC